AUACGGAGGGUGCAAGCGUUACUCGGAAUCACUGGGCGUAAAGGACGCGUAGGCGGAUUGGAAAGUCAGAUGUGAAAUCCUACAGCUUAACUGUAGAACUGCAUUUGAAACUUCUAAUCUAGAGUAUGGGAGGGGGAGAUGGAAUUAGUGGUGUAGGGGUAAAAUCCGUAGAUAUCACUAGGAAUACCGCAAGCGAAGGCGAUCUCCUGGAACAUAACUGACGCUAAGGCGUGAAAGCGUGGGGAGCAAACGGAAUUAGAAACCCGAGUAGUCC
rnacentral:rRNA from 1 species